UCUCAGUGAUAGAAGGUGACUAGGACAGUGUCUUUGAAGAAGGAAGUGCCCAAACUGAACACCAGCCGCGAAUGGUGGUGCACACUUGUCCCGCCAGCAUUACGGAGGAACGGAGUUACAAGAUCUCAACGUGAGUACAGUGCAUACAUUCUGGAAGAAAGACAGUUCACAGAGGCCCAUCUUCUAACUUGGGCACUAGGGCGAUUCAACUCAUACACAGAACAGGCUCUUUUCCUGGCUGUUGUUGAACACCUGGUUCCCGCUGGUGGGCGCUGUUUCUGGAGGCUGUGGGACCUUCAGGGCAGUGAGGCCUAGCUGGUCACCAGGAACCGGCCU